rnacentral:lncRNA from 1 species
GAGGAAGAGAUGGGCCAGCUCGGUGCAGUGUGAGGAACGCUCUGAUAUCUAGGCGGGGACCAUCAUUCUGCGUGGGGUCACAGGAUCACUUGGAAAAUGCCUCUUUGUAGAGGUCUAGCCAUCGUCUGCAGCCUCUGGCAUGGGUGCGUGUGACAACAGCUGCGUCGCCGUGUUUCUAUCUAGAUUGGCUCUGGGGAGAGGAGGCAGGGAGCUCGUCCUGUGUGGGCCAUGCCACUCUUGUGCAGAGGAAAGUGAUUUAAGACAAGAGAGAAGUCCCAGAACAUGGAAAUGCAAAGCUGCACAAACGGCCGUGCUUUGUUUUAAUUUUUGUGGCUGACGGUAGGGAAAGUGUCCAGCGGAAUAGGGGCUGCAGCUGAAGUCCUGGUCAAUCUGUACAUGAAUGAUCACAGACCUAAGGCCCAGGCCACCUCUCCAGACCUGGAAUCUAUGCGAAAGUCAUUUCCCCUUAACCUGGGAGGCAGCGACACGUGUUACUUCUGUAAGAAACGUGUGUACGUGAUGGAACGGCUGAGCGCCGAGGGCCACUUCUUCCACCGGGAGUGUUU